CGUGGGUAACCUGCCCAAGAGAUCGGGAUAACACCUGGAAACAGAUGCUAAUACCGGAUAACAACAGAUGAUGCCUAUCAACUGUUUAAAAGAUGGUUCUGCUAUCACUCUUGGAUGGACCUGCGGUGCAUUAGCUAGUUGGUAGGGUAACGGCCUACCAAGGCGACGAUGCAUAGCCGAGUUGAGAGACUGAUCGGCCACAUUGGGACUGAGACACGGCCCAAACUCCUACGGGAGGCAGCAGUG
rnacentral:rRNA from 1 species